AGCUAUCAGCUUCCCAGUUUGCACAAUUAAUCAAGAAAUAAUGCAGGGCCACUGGCACAAAUGAUGAGGUGUCUCCUGAAGCUUAACUUCCUAUCCGUCCAAUCUCUUAGACAGAUGAUGCCAGUUAAUUACUUUGAAUAAAAUGGGCAAAAGUCUAUCAUUAUCAACAAAGAAGAAGAAAGAAACCCUAUGCCAGGUAACACCAAAGCUUUGGCCCAGUGUCCUCUGCCGAAACAUCCUAGGAUUUUUCUUUCCACUUCUAUUACAACCGAUCUGAUUUAGCCCCUUCACACUUUACUCCUAGGUUUUGCUAGACCUUUCUAUUUGUCUUCCUGAAUUAAGGUUUCUCCUCUAGGGCACUCUACAUAUGGAUUCUAAAAUAAUCUUUUGCAUGUCUAUACUUGAACAUAAAGCAAAAAACAAAAUAAAAUAAUCUUCCUGUUUUAAUCA